CCCCUAGACGUUCUGGGCUGCACGCGCGCUACAAUAAUACGCACAGCGAGUAUCACCGAGCUCGAAAGGGCAAGGUAAACAAUUGAAAAGGUACUGUAAUGGUUAUAGAUCCUUGUAAUUAUUGAUCUUCAACGAGGAAUUCCUAGUAAGUAUGUGUCAUCAUCACGCACUGAUUACGUCCCUGCCCUUUGUACACACCGCCCGUCGCUCCUACCGAUUGGGUGAGCCGAUGAAACUCUCGGAUGUAGGCUAUUCAUAGCCCGCAGAAGAGAUUUGAAUCGUAGCGCUUAGAGGAAGGAGAAGUCGUAACA
rnacentral:rRNA from 1 species